UAGCAUCAUCUGUACAAGAGGCCUUCCUUUCUGCUGGAUGGUGCAUCAUGUUAGAAAUAACUUUUAACGCAGGAGCCAUAAAUAAUCAGCAGAAGACAUCUUCCUUCACAGUUUACUGUGUUUUAUUUGACACUUUUUGAAGAGCACAGUACUCAGAAGAUGCAACAGUGAAAAGCUGUGAUCUGCUCCAGGACUUUAAGUGAGAUGCUGCUGCUGUUGACAGGUCUAACCAAAAGGCAGCAAGGGCCAAGGUGACUCAGAAAAGGACACUACCUUCUUCCAACUCGGACCAGAUCUCUCCUAUGACAUUUUCAACCAUAAAGGUACGGCUUUGACGGUUA